rnacentral:rRNA from 1 species
UACGUAGGGUGCAAGCGUUGUCCGGAAUUAUUGGGCGUAAAGAGCGUGUAGGCGGCCCGAUUAGUCCGCUGUGAAAGUCCAGGGCUCAACCCUGGAAUGCCGGUGGAUACUGUCGGGCUAGAGUCCGGAAGGGGCGAGUGGAAUUCCUGGUGUAGCGGUGAAAUGCGCAGAUAUCAGGAGGAACACCGGUGGCGAAGGCGGAUCUCUGGGCCUUACCUGACGCUCAGGCGCGAAAGCUAGGGGAGCGAACAGG